CGGGCGCCCUGCAUAUAGUCCAUGGAGUGGUACCCUGAAGGCUGUGAAAAACUGCCACAGUGUAUAAAACGCAGGAAAAGGGGGUGACAAUUAUUUUUUUGCCAUUUUUUUCUGUUGUUUUUGCAGGUGAAAAAAACAAGAGGAAACUUGUCGGGGUUAGUGCUGUGUAGUUCAGCACGUCACCCGGUUCUUCAGCGUACUGUACGCCCUCCACUUGUGUUAUUGUGCUGCAAACCCGUGAGUAAAGGACAAGUAUCUUCACCACAGGAAGCCAUCUUGUGUAGGCGCAGGAGAGAGCAGAUGAUAAAAGGUGGCUAUACAUGGACAGAUGGUAUGGCAGGGCAGUGGAUCGUGGGGAGCCCCGUCUGGAGUGACUGCGCUGUUUCCCGCCCUCUGGGCGUUUCCUCAGGCCCGGAAUUGACAUCACAUCACAGGUGAUAAGAUGUGUGACCUCUAUCCUUUUUGGACCUGAUCUAAACAACUUUUUACAAAGAUUAAAAUUGCACAUUCUGUGGAGAAAAGAAAAAGAAGACCGAUGGACAGCGCCUCGUGUAUUUAUUACAAUAAAAUGUCCUGCUGAGGACUUUUCCAGUAUCCCUGGCUUUGCUUCAUUCUUCAUACCAGAGCUAGCAGCGCCGUCUUCAAGGGUCCUUUUUCUGCCUUCUUCCAUAAAAUUGCACAUGGAGCAAUUCCCACAUUUGUAAUUACUGUUUUUUUCUUUGUUCUUUUUUUUACUAUAUUUUUGAAGAAAUCUCCUAUUGUUUUGUUAUGUUUGAAUGUAAUGACCGGUUUAUUCUCUGCUAUCCUUUUUAAAUCCAAAUCCUGUUC